rnacentral:rRNA from 1 species
CGUGUAGGCGGUUUGUUAAGUCUGAUGUGAAAGCCCUGGGCUCAACCCAGGAAGUGCAUUGGAAACUGGCAGACUUGAAUACGGGAGAGGGCAGUGGAAUUCCUAGUGUAGGAGUGAAAUCCGUAGAUAUUAGGAGGAACACCGGUGGCGAAGGCGGCUGCCUGGACCGAUAUUGACGCUGAGACGCGAAAGCGUGGGUAGCAAACA